AGCGAACGCUGGCGGUAGGCCUAACACAUGCAAGUCGAACGGCAGCAUAGUAAGAGCUUGCUCUUACGGGAGUAGCGUGUCGGACGGGUGAGGUAUCCACCGGAUUCUACUUUUUAGCGGGGGAUAACGCCGGGAACCUUCCGUUAAUACAGCAUACGACCUACGGGUAAAAGCAGGGGAUCUUCGAACCUUGCGCGGUUGAAAGGGCCGAUGUCGGAGUCGCUAGUUGGCGGGGUAAAGGCCAACCAAGGCUACGAUCCGUAGCUGGUCUGAGGGGAUGAUCAGCCACACUGGUUCUGAGACACGUUCCAGACUCCUACAGUGGGCCGCAGCGCGGAAUAUUGGACAAAGGGGGCAAGCCUGAUCUUGCCAUACCGCGUGAGUGCAGAAGUCCUUCGGGUUGUAAAGCCAUUUUGUUGGUAGAGAAAAGCAGCAGGUUAAGCUGCCGCUGUUAUGACGGUACCCAAAGAAUAAGCACCGGCUAACUUCGUG
rnacentral:rRNA from 1 species